UGGGGAAUAUUGCACAAUGGGCGCAAGCCUGAUGCAGCCAUGCCGCGUGUGUGAAGAAGGCCUUCGGGUUGUAAAGCACUUUCAGCGAGGAGGAAGGUGGUGAGCUUAAUACGCUCAUCAAUUGACGUUACUCGCAGAAGAAGCACCGGCUAACUCCGUGCCAGCAGCCGCGGUAAUACGGAGGGUGCAAGCGUUAAUCGGAAUUACUGGGCGUAAAGCGCACGCAGGCGGUUUGUUAAGUCAGAUGUGAAAUCCCCGGGCUCAACCUGGGAACUGCAUUUGAAACUGGCAAGCUAGAGUCUCGUAGAGGGGGGUAGAAUUCCAGGUGUAGCGGUGAAAUGCGUAGAGAUCUGGAGGAAUACCGGUGGCGAAGGCGGCCCCCCUGGACGAAGACUGACGCUCAGGUGCGAAAGCGUGGGGCAGCAAACAGGAUUAGAUACCCUGGUAGUCCACGCUGUAAACGAUGUCGAUUUGGAGGUUGUGCCCUUGAGGCGUGGNUUCCGGAGCUAACGCGUUAAAUCGACCGCCUGGGGAGUACGGCCGCAAGGUU
rnacentral:rRNA from 1 species